GCAGUAAUUGAUUUUUUUCUAAGUACAGGAAGAAAUCUUUGCAUAUAAGCUCACCACUGGCAGCAAGAGUGACGCAGUACAUUUGGGUAAAAAAAAAAAAAAAACUCGAAUUUGCUGGCUUUAAGAGGAAGAUUAUGAUUAAGACAGUGUCUUCCACUAUCUAAUUAUAUUAUCAACUCCUUUUCUUUAACUUUGCUAAAGCCAUGCUUUCCACCUCUUCAACCACCACCCUUUGCUCCCUACCUUUUCAACCACCACCUCCACCAUCUUCGAUUCUUUAAGGCUACUAGCCAACACUCCUUGCCUUCAUUCUAUGUUCCUUCAGCCACCAAAGUGAGGAGAAUUCAUUAAGCUGCUGCCAACAUUCAAGGUAAGACUUAAACUUCAAUUUUUCCACCUCUCCCUGUUUCCUCCUGCAUUCAUUGAGGAAAACCAACAAUCUUUAUAUUUCAGUGUAUCUAUCCACUGAUUCAAUCAACAACAACAGCCAUCAACAACAAACAAUCAAGGUAUUUACUAUCUCAUAUGCCUUCUUUCAUAAUAUGCAUUUCACGCCCCAACACAACCGAUGAUCAGUUUUCUUAUGAGAUUCAGAUAAUACGCUUAUGAACAUAGCUAAACCAUGAGUUUCUGUAAUAGAGAAUAAUCCAUAGCAUGUUACAGAUACAGAAUAGCUCAAUCAGUUUUUAUUCACAAGACAAAGGCGUAAAUAGCAGCAUCAUACUAGAAUUUUAUGCGAGAUAAUUACGUUUCAACAUUUUAGCUUCUAAACCAAGUAUUCAAGAUAGCAAUAACACUUAUGAGAUUCAUAGAGUAUUAGAUACUACAAGAAUUCGUUAUACAACAAUUGGGGAUCGAACUUAGCUUUUGGGGGAAUAGGGGCCGACUGCCCAAGCAACUGCCGAACCCCGACUGCCGGAACGGAGAGAGAAGGCGGCCAACUCUCGUCGUCUCGCCGCAUCAGAAUAGCCACGACGCCGGCCGGAGAAAGAUGACGCAGACCGGUACCGAGCCGAGCAGCGGCUGCUCUGCAGCGGCUCUUCCAGAGAGAGAAAAGCGAGAUCUGUUUGUGUCGCUAGCCGACGCAGGACGGAGUAAAUGGCGGCUGAACGACCGGAGAGGAGGAGGCCGGAGCAGCGCCGCUCCCAGACGACAGCAACCCGUCGGAUUUCGGACGAGGAUGCGGCCGCAGCAGCGACCUGGGUUUGACGAUUAGGGCUCUGCGAUGAAGGGAAAGGAGGCGGCGCGAUCAACAAUUGCUCGCCGGCGGUUGGGACGGCCAGAGCAGCGGUAGACGAAGCCCUCGGCGGCCUGACGAGCAGCAGCAGUCGGCGGCGACUCCAGGCGAAGCAGCAGCCGCUCCAAACGGCGGCGAUGGCUCCAGACAAGGGCGUGACAGCAGCUGACGUUCGCCGGAUCCCAGUUUUUCAACGGCGGCAACGAUUUAUGAUGGGAGAAAUUAGGGCUCUUGUUGGUGUGAUUUCUGAGGGAUUCACUCGAGAGGUGAAGGCGUAAGAGAGAAGCAGACAGGGUUGCGCCGACCGAUUGUGCGGCGACCUCGCCGGAUUUGCAGAAGCAGCAGACGCGGCGGCGAAAUUUUGUUAGAUGAAGAAGAGGACUCUCGGCCUUGAAUUCUGUAAAAAAAAAAACGUUUGAGAGUUGAGAGAGAAAGAGAGCCGAGAGCUUGAGAAAAAAGAGAGGAUGGGCUGACUUUAUUAAGUUUGGGCUUAAUUUUAUCUAUAUUGUUUGGGCCGAAAAUUUAAAAGAUUUGGGCUUUCUUUUUAUGUUGGGCCAUUACAUUGAGCCGAGUUAGUUCUUUAUUUUCGAUCGAGUACAAAUGCGAGAUCUAUUUUACAAUUAGAAUAUUCCGAUGGGAAAGGAAGAAUCACAGCUCUAUUCGACCGCGUUGGACGGAAGUUAGUUAAAUCUAUUAACGAGGAUAAAUAGUAGGAUGCCCCGAAUAUCGUUCGAAAAUAUUAGUUCAUGCAUACCAGAUUCAUGCAUAGUUAAAUUACGCUUUCUCAUUAAUUGAGAAUUUUCCUCGAGCCAAUGUCUUAUUUUACAUUCUCGUGAUUAAGGUCAAGCGCGAGAGUAAGCACUACUCAAGGAGUCAGUACCUUAGCAAAACCUUGCUAUCAGGUGGGCAAUUCCUUACGCGUAAAUAAAAUGCUAUGCAAGUGUUAUGCUUUAAAAUGCAAAUUGGAUCUUCAAGUAUGGUAUGCUUUAUUACGCUUAAAUGAGUUAAGCUUUAUUAUGCUGCACGUUAAAUGAUUUACGCUAUGCUGUUUAUACUAUUUACGCCCUAUGUAAUUUACGCUUGAAUGCUUUACGCUGAUAAGUUUAUGCUUAUGUUUGAUGCUUGCGUCUGUUGGGGGAGGCCUCCCUCAACAGUACGAUGCCGUGUCCGUUGAGGAGGGCCUUCCUCACGGCGCGAUGCCCGUGUCCGCUGAGAGAGGCCUCUCUCGCGGCGCGAUGCCAGUAUGCCAUUAUGCCAGUGUUACAGCGUCUAUUGGGGGAGGCCUCCCUCAAUAGUACGAUGCCGUGACCGCUGAGGGAGGCCCCUCUCACGGUGCGAUGCCCGUGUUCGUUGGGGAAGGCCUUCUCCACGAUACGAUGCUUGUUUAUGAUUGUUGAUGAUGAAGAAUGCGCUCAUGCUAUUUAUGAAUUUGGAAAUGUUUAAUGAGCAAAGGUAUUUGAAAGAAACUUAUGCCUCUUAUGCGAUGUUGUGUUUUGUUGUUGAUGUUAUGUUAUAUGCUUGGCAACUGCCCACUAAGUACUCUUGUACUUAGCCCUUCGUUGUUUAUGUUUGUGCAGGUUGAGCUGUGAUGGGCGAUGAAGUGUUGUUGCUGAGUGGAGUUUUUGUCGAACUUAAAGUAGGCUCAGAAAGGAUACAUGUCUUCAUACAUGUAUCUCAGUUAUGCAUUCCGCUGUAAACACUGAUUAUUUCAGUUACGCCUUCCGUUGCAAACUCUGAUAAUGUUUUAGCCAAGCCCUAACGAUGCCUUUUUCCUUUUUAAGGAAUAUUUCACGCGUAUUCAAGCUUUUUGAGUAUUCUUUUAUGCGCCCCUUUCUAAACCCGCUUCUUAAUUUCCCUUCCCCAGUCAU
rnacentral:lncRNA from 1 species